rnacentral:rRNA from 1 species
UAAUACGAAGGGGGCUAGCGUUGCUCGGAAUUACUGGGCGUAAAGGGCGCGUAGGCGGACAGUUAAGUCAGAGGUGAAAUCCCAGGGCUCAACCCUGGAAUUGCCUUUGAUACUGGCUGUCUUGAGUAUGGGAGAGGUAAGCGGAACUCCGAGUGUAGAGGUGAAAUUCGUAGAUAUUCGGAAGAACACCAGUGGCGAAGGCGGCUUACUGGCCCAUUACUGACGCUGAGGCGCGAAAGCGUGGGGAGCAAACAGGAUUAGAUACCCUGGUAGUCCACGCCGUAAACGAUGAGUGCUAGUUGUCGGCAUGCAUGCAUGUCGGUGACGCAGCUAACGCAUUAAGCACUCCGCCUGGGGAGUACGGUCGCAAGAUUA